GACGAACGCUGGCGGCGUGCUUAACACAUGCAAGUCGAACGUGAUUUUUGUGGAAAUUCUUUCGGGAAUGGAAAUGAAAUGAAAGUGGCGAACGGGUGAGUAACACGUGAGCAACCUACCUUACACAGGGGGAUAGCCGUUGGAAACGACGAUUAAUACCGCAUGAGACCACAGAAUCGCAUGAUAUAGGGGUCAAAGAUUUAUCGGUGUAAGAAGGGCUCGCGUCUGAUUAGCUAGUUGGAAGGGUAAAGGCCUACCAAGGCGACGAUCAGUAGCCGGGCUGAGAGGAUGGACGGCCACAUUGGAACUGAGACACAGUCCAAACUCCUACGGGAGGCAGCAGUGGGGAAUAUUGCACAAUGGGGGGAGCCCUGAUGCAGCGACGCCGCGUGAGCGAAUAAGGUUUUCGAAUCGUAAAGCUCUGUCCCAUGAGAAGAUAAUGACGAUAUCAUAGGAGGAAGCCCCGGCUAAAUACGUG
rnacentral:rRNA from 1 species